rnacentral:rRNA from 1 species
GGGACGUGUGGCGCACGGGUCGAAGACAGCCGUUCGUUUCGUCUCGCGUAGUUCGGAGUUCCCUCGAUCGGGGCCGCCCGUGGCGGGUGCCAGGCCCAUUCGGUGCGGACGGCGAGCGACGGUCUUCGAUCCGAGAGUCGGGUUGCUUGGGAACGCAGCCCAAAUCGGGUGGUAAGCUCCAUCCAAGGCUAAAUACCGGGACGAGUCCGAUAGUCGACAAGUACCGUGAGGGAAAGUUGAAAAGAACUUUGGAGAGAGAGUUCAAGAGAACGUGAAACCGCCCAGGGGUAAACGGGUGGGACCGUUCACCGCGAUCGCGGGGGGACUCAGUCCGGUGCUGCACAAGUUGCCCAAACUCGAUUUGUGUGCGGCGGUGAGGUCUUCGGGCUUUGCCGUCGUUCAGAGGCCGGGUGGACGUCGAUUUCUUCG